AGAGACGUCACCAAUAUGUGUGGAUUUGGGACUAAAUACAUUAUAUGCGUGUGAAUGUGUGUAUGUAUGUAUGUGUAUGUCAGUGUGUGAGAACACACUGAUACAUAUUCAUCAUUCAUACAUACAUACAUACAUACAUACAUACAUACAUACAUACAUACAUACAUACAUACAUAUAUAUAUAUGUAUAGUCUGCUAUUGGCUGAGGUUGCUUUCGUCUGAAGCUUUAUGCAGUUUCGACUUAAGCAUGGGUUUGGAUUUCUACGAUAAACUCCACAUUCAUAUUGCUUGGAAGUUAAGGCAACAGAAUCACUUUUUUAACCCAAGAUGUGAUGAAGCGAUUCUUGCAGCAGAAAAAGUUAAAAAAUAUGCAAGGCUUCACCCAGGCGAAGAAAUACCAUCGUAUAUUCGCUGGAGAAGAAGAAAUAUAUAUAAACUUGUACCCCAUCCACCGAUACUCGCACACAAAUUAUAUAAGAGACCAUUUCAUAAAAGACAACCGUUAAAAGUAGAUCCUAAGUAUCCUCUCCUUCAGAGACGUAGACGUCUCUCAAUAAAAAGCGAACAGCUUAGAACAACGUUGCUGCAACAUUGCGAUGUCCGACCCUACUAUUUAAAUGAUUUUGAAAAGAAUGAACAAUUUUACCAGAAUGUGUUCCCUCUACUUGGUGAAUGGAAUGAGAACAACGAGUACUCUUUCACAAGAUAUACUGAGGACAGUAUUGUCAAGAACACGAGCGAGGACCAGAAAAUAUUCUGGAGAAAAGUAAAAGUAUCGCAACAAGAGUACAGCAAUAAGCUAGAUAAAAUCUUGAAUCAGUUGAGAAACGAAAAGCUACUUGUUUCAAAGACUAAUCUCUCUUCAGAUGUGUUUUAUCCCUGGAAAUGGAAAAUUAAGUAAAGAUAGCAACAACAUUAUUACCAACAACAAAUAUAGCAUGAAGAAAAACAAGAAGAUGUAAAGGACAUACAAAUGUAUGUGGGGUGGGAAAGACGAGUUACACAAAGACGAAGGGACGCUAAAGUAUGAGAAAACAUUGAUUAAAACUAGAUAUAUACACAUAAAA